UCCUACGGGAGGCAGCAGUAGGGAAUCUUCCGCAAUGGGCGAAAGCCUGACGGAGCGACGCCGCGUGAGCGAAGAAGGCCUUCGGGUCGUAAAGCUCUGUUGUGAGGGACGAAGGAGCGCCGUUCGAAGAGGGCGGCGCGGUGACGGUACCUCACGAGGAAGCCCCGGCUAACUACGUGCCAGCAGCCGCGGUAAUACGUAGGGGGCGAGCGUUGUCCGGAAUUAUUGGGCGUAAAGCGCGCGCAGGCGGUUCCUUAAGUCUGAUGUGAAAGCCCACGGCUCAACCGUGGAGGGUCAUUGGAAACUGGGGGACUUGAGUGCAGGAGAGGAGAGCGGAAUUCCACGUGUAGCGGUGAAAUGCGUAGAGAUGUGGAGGAACACCAGUGGCGAAGGCGGCUCUCUGGCCUGCAACUGACGCUGAGGCGCGAAAGCGUGGGGAGCAAACAGGAUUAGAUACCCUGGUAGUCCACGCCGUAAACGAUGAGUGCUAAGUGUUAGAGGGGUCACACCCUUUAGUGCUGCAGCUAACGCGAUAAGCACUCCGCCUGGGGAGUACGGCCGCAAGACUGAAACUCAAAUGAAUUGACGG
rnacentral:rRNA from 1 species